rnacentral:rRNA from 1 species
UACAGAGGUCUCAAGCGUUGUUCGGAUUUCAUUGGGCGUAAAGGGUGCGUAGGCGGCGCGGUAAGUCGGGGUGUGAAAUCUCGGAGCUUAACUCCGAAAACUGCAUUUCGAUACUGCCGUGCUUUGAGGACUGGAGAGGAGACUGGAAUUUUACGGUGUAGCGGUGAAAUGCGUAGAUAUCAGGAGGAACACCGGUGGCGAAGGCGGGUCUCUGGGGCCGAUACUGACGCUGGAGGAGCGAAAAGCGUGGGGGAGCGAACAGGG